CCUACGGGGGGCAGCAGUGGGGAAUAUUGGACAAUGGGGGGAACCCUGAUCCAGCCAUGCCGCGUGUGUGAAGAAGGCCCUCGGGUUGUAAAGCACUUUCAGUGAGGAAGAACGCCUGGUGGUUAAUACCCAUCAGGAAAGACAUCACUCACAGAAGAAGCACCGGCUAACUCCGUGCCAGCAGCCGCGGUAAUACGGAGGGUGCGAGCGUUAAUCGGAAUUACUGGGCGUAAAGCGCGCGUAGGUGGCUUGAUAAGCCGGUUGUGAAAGCCCCGGGCUCAACCUGGGAACGGCAUCCGGAACUGUCAAGCUAGAGUGCAGGAGAGGAAGGUAGAAUUCCCGGUGUAGCGGUGAAAUGCGUAGAGAUCGGGAGGAAUACCAGUGGCGAAGGCGGCCUUCUGGACUGACACUGACACUGAGGUGCGAAAGCGUGGGUAGCAAACAGGAUUAGAUCCCCUAGUAGUC
rnacentral:rRNA from 1 species